rnacentral:sRNA from 1 species
AUAUUUUUAUUUGAUAGUUUACAAUUGUUAUUAAGUAACAUCCUGCCAAACCCGUCCCGCCAACCCGUCCCGUAAAAAAAACAUUUAUUUUAUUAAUGUUGAUCUUAUUUAUGAUAUGUUUAUGAAUUAUUGUCUAAAUAUUUUGUAAUUUUGUAGUAAUUAAAUGCUAUCAAAUAUCUCUGCGGUUUGAUGUUUAUAAUCGAAUUGUUAUAGUCAUGGAAAAAAGCAAUAUCAAAAAUGAUAAUUUUGAAGUAAUUAAAUGAUAGUAAAUAUUUUGGAAGUUUUAUUUUAGUAACUAAUGUGGAGAGAUUCAGGGAAGAUUGUUAAAUGUCAAAUAUUUAUUUCGAAGAUUUU